rnacentral:lncRNA from 1 species
AUUUGCUAUACUUUUUAUUGUUAUUUUGGAGUGUACUCCUUCUGCUUAUUUUUUUAAGUCAAAAACAGCCUCAGGCAGGUCCUUCAGGAGGUAUUCUAGAGGAAGAUACUGUUAUCAUAGUAGAUGACAGCCCCAUGCAUGUUAUUGCCCCUGAAAACCUUCCAGUGGGACAAGAUGUGGAGGUAGAAGACAGUGAUACUGAUGAUCCCGACCCUGUGUGCUUAGGCUAAUGUGUGUGUUUGUGUCUUAGUUUUCAAUUAAAAAGCCUAAAAACUAAAAAGAAAUAAAAACGUAAAAAAUAGAAAAAUCUUGUAGAAUAAGGAUAUAAUGAAAGAAAAUAUUUUUGUACAACUGUAGAAUGUGUUGUGUUUUAAGCUAAGUAUUAUUAUAAAAGAGUCAAAAACUUUUUGUCUUUUGUACCUUAUUUUUACUGUAACUUUUCUAUGCUUAGAUACACAAAUACUUCCCAUUGUGUUACAACUGGCUCUGGCUACAAUAUUCAAUACAGUAACAUGCUGUACAGAUUUGUAGCCUAGGAGCAAUAGGUUGUAUCACACAGGUUUAUGGAAACACACUUUAUGACGUUCACACAAUGGUGAAAUCGGCCCUUUUCUCAGAAUGUAUCCCUGUUGUUAAGAGAUGCAUGACUGUACAUUGUGUAGAUCAAUGUAUGUGAAAAUUAUACUCAUUUGUUAAGUUCCAGAAUAUGUGUUUGAUUUCCCCAAGCAGAAAUAAUCUCUCCUCUUUUUGUGUUUCCUCACAGUUUUUUACAUUUGACUUUUUACUCUACAUAUGGAUGAAUUGUACUAUAUCAUCUACUACUUUUUUUAGCCCUUUGCUUAUCUCUGUAUCUACAGUGAAGGCUGGGUUAAUUGAAUGACACAGACUAGAAUUGAAGUAAAGCAUUUUUUUCUAGUAAAUUCUACAAUCUUUGGUCCUUAUUGUAUAAAUGUGGUCAUAGAAAAGAUACCUUUCUCACUAUGGUUAACCUACAUUAAAAAAAACUAAGAAGGAGCACCGUGUUUAGUUACUGACACCUAAUCCUUUGUUUUUCUUAGACUUAGGUCAGCAGAAAUAUGAAGCCUGGUAAGACUGCCUGUAUUUCCAGGUUUUGUAACCCUGGUUUAUUCAUCAAACUAUUGUGAACUUUGGCCCAAUCAUGUUCUUUUGCAGCCUGUAUAUUUGUUUAUCAUUCACUUGCAUAGAAAAGAUACCACCUAUUGUAAAGAAUCUGUUUGUAGAAAUUGUAGAACAUGAAAGGAGGCUGGUUAGUCAAUACGCGUAUUUUGUGUUUCCCUAUAUAAUGACCAAUUGAUUUGUUUCAGGGUAAUCUCAGCUCUAACUGCUAAUCCAGAAAGGAAGUGCCUAAUCUUUACAGAACUACUGGAGUAAAAGGGUAUGUUUUUCUUUGCUUAUCACAGGUUUAAUU